rnacentral:lncRNA from 1 species
CUCGGGUGUAAUGUCUAAUAAUAGUCCCGAGUAUUAGACCAAAAUUGUAAUAGGUUUCAAGUCAUAAAUACUCGUCUUCCAACCCUAAAACACUCAACAAAUCAACCCUAUUUUCUCACCCCCGCGCGAUCAAAAACCUUUUCAAAAAGAACAUUAUUUAGUCCAUUCUAAUGUGAAUACAAACAAACGCUUUAAGCCUCCAAUUGUAAGCACAAACAACGUUUAACCAUUAGAGAGCGGUCUAAAUAGUUGUUCAUUAAAACAAACUAACCACCAUAUAGUUUUUUACGAAGAACUACGUAGCUUUGAAUUCCUCAUUGUACCUAAGAAUACGUAGGAGCGAGACCCGCAAUCCGGCAAGCACCCUAAUAAAAACCUUUUUGCG